UCUUAUCAAGAGCUGGCAGAGGGAUUUUGGCCCGAUGACGCCCAGCAACCGACCGUAAUACCGUUGUGAGACGGGGCGCUUUGGCGCCAGGAUGAAUAUCCUGUAAGGCACGGUGCUAAUUCCAUCAGAAAUUUAUUUUCUGAAAGAUAAGA
rnacentral:ncRNA from 1 species